UACGUAGGUGGCGAGCGUUAUCCGGAUUUAUUGGGUUUAAAGGGUGCGCAGGCGGAGGCACAAGUCAGCGGUAAAAUCGCGGGGCUCAACCCCGCUCCGCCGUUGAAACUGUGUCCCUUGAGUGCGCGAAGGGUAGGCGGAAUGCGUGGUGUAGCGGUGAAAUGCAUAGAUAUCACGCAGAACUCCGAUUGCGAAGGCAGCGCACCGGCGCCCUACUGACGCUCAGGCACGAAAGCGUGGGUAUCGAACAGG
rnacentral:rRNA from 1 species